CUGAAAUGGCUGCACCCAAUAUCUCAGCAGGUUACCCCAUAGAGUGUUGAGUGGGCAACUCAAUUAUUCCCUCACCUGAAAGAGUUUGAAAGCAAAACAAAGAGAAUCCUUUUGCAAGAGUGAUGUACAAAGCCCUGCAGACAUACAGACUUCUUGUGCAAGUCCUAUGGAGGAGAGGAGAUGAGAGAGCAAUCGGUUGGUGGCAUCUGGGGACAUUAAACAGUGACAUGGACACAGUGUUGGCCUGCAGUGGUGAACCAGUGAGGGAACAAGUCCUCUGGUUGGGGAGCUACCUGAGGCUGGAGAGCAGAGUACAGUCAGGCCCACAGUGGUGCAGCAUACCAGGGUCGAGGUCUCACUAGGAUGUCCAGGCUGGCCUCGAACUCCUGGGCUCAAGUAAUCCACCUGACUUGGUCUCUUAAAGUGCAGGAAUUACAGGACACUGAACCAACCUCCUCGCAUAUUUGAAAUGUCUUGUAAGGUCCUGAGUUCCUUUUUGUGUCCAUGUGCAAACAUUCAACAUUGUAUAUCCCUGCUCCCACCAAC